rnacentral:rRNA from 1 species
GACGAACGCUGGCGGCGUGCCUAAUACAUGCAAGUAGAACGCUGAAGGAGGAGCUUGCUUCUCCGGAUGAGUUGCGAGCGGGUGAGUAACGCGUAGGUAACCUGCCUGGUAGCGGGGGAUAACUAUUGGAAACGAUAGCUAAUACCGCAUAAGAGUAGAUGUUGCAUGACAUUUGCUUAAAAGGUGCAAUUGCAUCACUACCAGAUGGACCUGCGUUGUAUUAGCUAGUUGGUGGGGUAACGGCUCACCAAGGCGACGAUACAUAGCCGACCUGAGAGGGUGAUCGGCCACACUGGGACUGAGACACGGCCCAGACUCCUACGGGAGGCAGCAGUAGGGAAUCUUCGGCAAUGGACGGAAGUCUGACCGAGCAACGCCGCGUGAGUGAAGAAGGUUUUCGGAUCGUAAAGCUCUGUUGUAAGAGAAGAACGAGUGUGAGA